rnacentral:rRNA from 1 species
GACGUAGGGCGCGAGCGUUGUCCGGAUUUAUUGGGCGUAAAGAGCUCGUAGGCGGCUCGUUGCGUCGGCUGUGAAAACCCGCAGCUCAACUGUGGGCUUGCAGCUGAUACGGGCGGGCUGGAGUUCGGUAGGGGAGACUGGAAUUCCUGGUGUAGCGGUGAAAUGCGCAGAUAUCAGGAGGAACACCGGUGGCGAAGGCGGGUCUCUGGGCCGAUAUUGACGCUGAGGAGCGAAAGCGUGGGGAGCGAACAGG